UACGUAGGGCGCAAGCGUUGUCCGGAAUUAUUGGGCGUAAAGAGCUCGUAGGCGGUUUGUCGCGUCUGCUGUGAAAACCUAAGGCUCAACCUGGGCCUUGCAUCGGUAGGACGGCAGACUAGAGGUGCGGAGGGGUGACUGGAAUUCCUGGUGAUAGCGGUGAAAUGCGCAGAUAUCAGGAGGAACACCGGUGGCGAAGGCGGGUCUCUGGGCCAAUACUGACGUGGAGGAGCGAAAGCGUGGGGAGCAAACAGG
rnacentral:rRNA from 1 species